UGCUCAUCAGCCUCACUGUACGACAGUGCCGUAGCAUCAUUAGUUAAUGUAAUUGCAUGGCUGAACGUGACUGGGCACCUCGUUAACAUCAGUAUCAACAAGCGUGCCAUGGGAGAGGGUUGAUGAUAAUUGGAAAGCAUCAAGGUGCAGAGGAGCUGUAAGCAGGAUAGAGGGGCCAGCAGGGCCUCUUGGAGGAGAAAGGUGAGUUAGAGGCCACUGCAUAGACCAUGGUUGGAGCCCAGGUAUCUGAGAGAUCCUGUUCCAGAGGACUGGACCAUGUACCUUAGGUGGCCUGCAGAGCACUCUGUGUGAUCUGGAGAAGAAAGCCAGGCUUAAAUGCACCAGAGGGUGGGGGACCACAGGCCCAGCCCAGUGUCCAUCUCCCACCCAGGCCCCCCAUGUACCCCCUACCCUACUGAUGGUCCGGGGAAUCGUGGCCAUACAGGCCCCCCGAAGCAGUCUUCAGCCUUACAGGGACAACAACACUACAGCCUACUGUGCUAUCUGGGACCCAGUGGCAUGCUCUGUGACGAGGCUACCACAGUGUAGAGGUUGUGCCUUCUAGAAUUCCUUGUCUGCUGCUGUGGUGGGAGCUGAGAUCCAGCACCCACGGGACCCCACCCAGGACCAGGACUGCGUUAGUCAAAACAUAUGGUGCAGCUGAAGCACCUACCAGAAGCUCCCCUUCUGGUAGGCCUGGGAAUGAGGGGUCAUGCAAAUCACCCACGUUUGUCAAGAUUUCAUUUUUUUUGUUUUUUCUUAAUGUUUUUUACCUUUUUAUUUAACCAGGCAAGUCAGUUUAAGAACUAAUUCUUAUUUUGAAUGAUGGUCUAGGAACAGUGGGUUAACUGCCUUAUUCAGGGGCAGAAUGGCAGAGUUUUACCUUGUCAGCUCAGGGAUUCGUUCUUGCCACCUUUCAGUUACAAGUCCAACGCUAGGCUACCUGCCGCCUAUAUUUAUUUCGUUCUAUAUAUUUGUUAUAUUUAUUGUCAAGAAAAAUGAUUUAGAUGUGGUCCAUGUCUGAAUGUGGUUGUGAAAUUAAAGCUUGACUUACCAUCA